GUCGCCCAGUUUCUUCAUCAUCCUUCCAAGCCCGGUUCUGCAACCUUCACUCUGGCAGUCCCUGUAUUUACAUGCCCCCAACACUUCUUGUUCUACCACCACACAGAAAGCCUUCAGGCAGCAGCCCAGCCCUGGUCCGCAGACUCUCCUGUGUAGCACUCCCACUCCCUCUGGGGGCAUCGAAAGAAUGAAAGAGGGAAAUUUGGAUGGAUUACACUGAUAAAGAGCUGCUUUCGGCCGGGUGUGGUGGCUCACGCCUGUAAUCCCAGCACUUUGGGAGGCCGAGGCGGGCAGAUCACAAGGUCAAGAGACCGAGACCAGUCUGGCCAACCAUGGCCCGCAUGGUGAAACCCCUUCUUUACUAAAUAUACAAAAAUUAGCUGGGCGUGGUGGCGCAUGCCUGGAGGCUGAGGCAGGAGAAUCGCUUGAACCCGGUAGGCGGAGGUUGCAGCGAGCCGAGAUGGCGCCACUGCACUCCAGCCUGGCGACAGAGGGAGACUCUGUCUCAAACAAAACAACAACAACAACAACAAAAACAAAAAGCUACUUUCUGGAGCAGAUGGCCCUGCCUCUGUCUCUGCCUGUCAACAUCGCUUCCUCUUUGAAUACUCAUCCCACAUGGUCACCUUCUCCAUGAAGCUUUCCCAGCGUGGUACUGUGGAAGGAUCUUCAGAACCUGAAAAUUCAGGUCCCAGGGCUGAUCCUAUCAGAUCAAGCCCAGGAGAAAAACAACUUGAAUUGCCGUGGAGAAACCUUAGACUCUGGUAGCUGUUUAAACUCAUAAAUUGUCCCAGAAGAUUUCUAAUUCCCAAACCAUCAAACCAUCCCUCACAUUUAAUUCAGGAACAUGUUCGGCAAAUGUUUGUGUUUGUACACGAAGUCUCUCAGCGAUCUAAGUUUGACUUGAAGAGCAAUGAGGCAAAAUUCCCAUCUUCCUACCCCACUUUAACUUGGAGAUAAAACCUACUCAAGUUAUACAUACCAGUACUUUCAAAAACCCUUCAACUUAUCUAAGCAUCUCUCUAGCCCCACACUCUUCCCCUUUUCAUCUCAAUAUGGAACUUUGUGUAAAAGCAUCCAAAGCUGAAAGACAGAGCUGUGGAUUAUGUGCCUGCAGAGCUUAAUCCCUGCCAAUCUUACAGAGGGGCACGUUAUAGUUAGGAAUGUGUGCAACCAGAGCCAGGAUAAGUUCAGACUCAUCAAACGAUUGUUUUAUCAACCACAAUUACACAAUACAACUAAAACAAAAAUAACCUUGAGAAGCAAUGAGUAAACUACAACUCAUCAUGAUAUGAAGUUCAAAUAAUUGCUAAUGCCACACUUGGACAGUCAAGUUUUUCAAGCUUCCCCCUGCUCCCCCUGCCCCCCAAAAUAGACAAGAUUAUGCAAUGAGAAGAUAAAGGAGAUAGAAGACAACGCUCCAGGGCCAGGCGUGGUGGCUCACACCUGUAAUCCCAGCACUUAGGGAGGCAGAGGCAGUUGGAUCACGAGGUCAGGAGUUCAAGACCAGCCUGGCUAAGAUGGUGAAAGCCUGUCUCUACUAAAAAUAAAAAAAAAAUUAGCCGGGCAUGGUGGUGGGCGCCUGUAAUCCCAGCUAAUCGGGAGGCUGAGACAGAGAAUUGCUUGAACCCGGGAGGUAGAGGUUGCAGUGAGCUGAGAUCACACUACUGCACUCCAGCGUGGGCGGCAAAGUAAGACUCCAUCUCAAAAGAAAAAAAAAAAGAAAAAAAGAAAUCAAUGCUUCAUCCUUAUUAUUCAAAGCUAGAUUGCAAAAUAUACCUAAGAAAUCUUUAGUUUUUCUCCUCCCUAUAGCUUUAGUUGAGCUUUAUGUAGGGUUUCUUUCUUUUAUACAAAGAAGCACAAAUAUCUCUCUUGGAAGACUACAGCUCAGUAACUGAUGGGAACAUGCAAGGGCAGGUGAAAACACACAGGACAACAAUAUAAGAAUGUUUUCUGAUGCACAAUAUGAGCAAAUACGGUUCUAGUCACUCUCUUUCUGCUAAGCAAAAAAUCUGAACCAAGCCAACCCCUGCUAUCUAAAAUGGUCAUUUUUGAAAAAUGUCUUUAUUAGUAAUCAUUUGUUUUCUGUAGAAAUGGGAAUAAUAAUAGCUAGCAUUCAUUGAGCAUUUAAUAUGUUUAAAGCACUAUUUUAAGUAAUUUGCAUGUAUUAACAACAGCCCUAUGUGGUAGGUAGAGAAUAUCAUCUUUCGUUUUACAGAGGAAUACACCGAGGCAUAGAGAGGUUAAACAGUUUGCCCAGGGUCACCCAGCUAAUAAGUAUUAGAGCCAGAAUCUGAGCUUGGGCAAUCCGGCUCCAUUUUACACUCUUGUCUCUGUUGGCAGUUGAAACAAAGAUGCACUUACAUGGACAUUGAUUCCUUGCUACACACAAACCUGCAACCAUAUGUCAAGACUAACAUCUUAUAGUUUAUGGUUACUUGUAGAAACCAAAUUAAAUGAGGAACCC